ensembl:lncRNA OXA1L-DT OXA1L divergent transcript
AUGUUGGGCCGGCAUGGUGGCUCAGGCCUGUAAUCUCAGCACUUUGGGAGGCUGAGGCAGGUGGAUCGCUUGAGCUCAGGAGUUUGAGACCAACCUUGGUAACAUGCAGAAGCCAGAGAAUAUCAUCUAAAUAUUGACAUUUCAAGAAACCGGAUGUAAAGGAAACCAAAGUGAGAUAUGAAACAAUCCAGUGAGGAGAAUAAGAAACCUGCCUAAAAAUGAGUUUUGAAGGGUGUAGAUGAAGGGGUUGAGCAUCAGGGUCACCACGGUGUUAAGCAAUGCCGCCACCUUGUUCCUGUCUUCCUUCUGGUCACUCUUGCCUGACUGAAUGUACAUGAAGAUGCAGCUGCCAUAGAAGAGAGACACGACAAUGAUGUGGGAGGAGCAGGCGGAGAAGGCUUUCUGCUUCUCUUUGGCUGAGGGGAUGUGCAGAAUGGCGUGGAGGAUGUGGCCAUAGCAAGUGGCCGUCAUAGACAGAGUGCCCAGUAAGCUGACGUUGGCUAUAACAAAACCCAGGAGCUCUAUCAGAGUCAUGUCUGCACAAAUGAGUUUCAAGAGGGGAAAGUUGUCACAGAAGAAAUGGUUAAUGAUGUUGGGGCCACAGAAUGGCUGCUGAAGGACAAGAAAACUUGGAAUAAUGAUGAGAAGGAAUCCUGUCAUCCACUAACAGAGGACUAGCUGGACACAGACCCUUUUGCUCAUGAUGGUGGCAUAAUGCAAAGGGUUACAUACGGCCACGUACCUGUCAAAGGACAUCACCGCCAGGAGGAAGAACUCUGUGGUGCCCAAGAAAAAAUAGAGCAAACUUUGCAGGAAGCAGCCUGGGAGGGAAUGGUCUUGUAUCCUGUGAGGAUGUUGGCCAGCACCUUGGGAAAGAUGACCGAGGUGAACCAGAUCUCCGGGACAGCAAAGUUGCGGAGGAAGUAGUACAUGGUGGUGUGGAGGCGCCUGUCCAUGAGGGUGAUGACCACGAUGACCAGAUUCCCCAGCAGUGUGAGGAGGUAGGUCAGGAGGAGCCCCAGGAAGAUGAGCAUCUGCAGCUCACAGGUCUCUGAGAGCCCCAGCAGGACAAACUCGGUGACGGUGGUGUGGUUCCCCAUGGCUCCUCUGACCUUUGCUGGGGAGGGCUGAUCAAAGGUGUUCAGCAUCAAGAAUCGUGAUGUUGGGGACCUGAGAACAACCUGGAACUGAAAGGAGAGAGGGCUGAAGGUGUACUUUAUUUCUGUGAAGGAUGUAUCUUCCCACCACUGACUACUCAGGCUUAUCUGCAGAGCCUCUGGGGUUACCUGUUUCACGUGUGGUUUCUGGUGCAUCUGUGUGUUAGACAAGAGUGUGAUGAUGUGCAAGGUGGCCCAAGAAAGGCUCAGAACCAAAAUUUAUCCUUUCUUACUUUUCUUAACCAAAACUUUUACUCCUAAUUUCUCAAUGAAUCCCUUUGCCUAUACUAAUAUUACCUGCUUUCAAUAACUUUUGUUCUUGUGUUUAUACCAAUAUUGGGUCUUCAUCCAUAAAG